GGGCCGUUAGCUCAGUCGGUAGAGCACCUGCCUUUUAAGCAGGGUGUCGUGCGUUCGAGUCGCACACGGCCCA
rnacentral:tRNA from 1 species